rnacentral:lncRNA from 1 species
CUGAGACAGAGCGCGUGCCAACUGCACCUGCGCGGGGACUGAGUUCUCGGAGAAGGGACCCAAUAGGUAAAUGACUCCAGAAGGUCUUCUCCCAGCAGCCAGAAUAAGACAGGAAAUGAAGCCGCUUUAUUGACAAGAAUGGGUUUCAUUCUGGCAACCUUGAUUAACACAAGAGGAUAUUGAAAGGAUUUGAAGAAAGUUAUCCCGCUGAUUCCUUAACAAGAUGAAAAGAAAAUAAGGCAGAAAAUUCUCCAGCAGAGCUGAGGCAAGAAGUGCUCAUAUUUAAAAUCCCAUUUGCUUGCCUAGCCCCUUGGUGACCUCUGUGCUGUGGGUAACAUUCACUGCCUCCAGGAAAGCCGAGGUCGGUGGGUGCAGUGGGUAGGCGGGAAUGCUGGUGGGUGAGCACCUCUUUCCCUCAUCAUCUACCAUCCAUCAGAGGCCUGUCUCCCCUGAUUCUUAUCUGACACUCAUUUGCACUGCUUGGAGAGAAGGUGCAAGGAACUAGGAGAAGAUGCUCAAAAAAACACGGAUCAGGAAGAUGACUGCAGCAUUGGAGAAACCAGGCAUUGAUUUUGUGGACCUCUGGGGAAGAGCUCUUGGGUGCUCUUACAAGGAUGACGAGGGCUGUGUUGAUCUUGGGAGAUGCCACUAAGGGGUUAGGGGUCAAAAGAAUUAAAUUGCAGAGGCUUAGGUGUCAAAAUAAAGAGGAACCAAGAAACAAAAUCAUGCAGAGCUUUCCAAACUACACUCUUAGCAUUUAGUCUUAGCCUUCCGUUAAAACAGCUAAGACAAGGCACAUACCACUGCAUUAUAAACCUGUUGUAGCAGUCAUGACCAUUUCACGGAGUAAUACCAACUUGCCAAAAGGAUUGACUCAGAGUUAAAUAGUGAAGGGAGGGAAGUGGCUAUCUUUUGACUCUAUAACAUAUUCGUCUUAAUAUCAUGAUGUUAUCUUUGAAAUUCUUAAAUUUCAAUAAUAUCAUUAUAGUGACAAUUUUAUGAGUUGGGUGUUGGAUUCUCACAAUCACUGAAAGGUUUAGUUGGGUGACUUUAGCUCUUUUUGGCAGCAGUUUAACAAUAGUAACUAUGUCGCUUUACUAUUUAAGAUAUUUCCUGAACACUAGCUCACUUCUUAACAACUUGGUGAGAUUGUUUUUCUGACUUUCCCACUUUACAGCUGAGGAAACUGAGGCUCAGGGAAAGAGAACUGGCACUUGCUUUUGACCCCAAAUCCUGGCUCUCCUGGCUGCUCUGUGAAAUCCUAAAUCAUGGUAACCCUGGAUACCACCAUACCAGCUUUGGUUGCAUGAUAGAAUUAAGGCCAAUAGCAUCUAUGCUGCAGUGAAGGCAUGGAUGGGAAACUCGCAGUGAAGGAGAGUGUAAUUCAUUGAAAUGACAAAUACAUUGCAUCUGUGCUAUAAACUAUGACUGAAAUGCUUCCUGCUCUCCUUAAGGAAGUGAAUAAGGUAAGCAAAGCUCUGUUUACCACAUGGGAAAGCACCUUCACAAAAACCCAGGCCUGGACUCAGCCCCUGGUUCUGUGCACAGUGCUAAACCCAACGGGAUUUCCAGUGACUCCUAGAUGAAGCAGACAUUAUUUCGCUCUACAGUCUCUUCCCUAUGCUCACAAACCAGCCUCUAGGAACUUAUCCCCCACUAGCCAGUUCACAUUUUUCAUAUGAACUCUGAGGGAUAUUUUUAAAAAUCGACUGAGGCAGACUGGGUUCCCAU